UACGUAGGGGGCAAGCGUUGUCCGGAUUUAUUGGGCGUAAAGAGCGUGUAGGCGGCCAGACAGGUCCGUUGUGAAAACUCGAGGCUCAACCUCGAGACGCCGAUGGAAACCGUCUGGCUAGAGUCCGGAAGAGGAGAGUGGAAUUCCUGGUGUAGCGGUGAAAUUCGUAGAUAUUAGGAAGAACACCAGUGGCGAAGGCGGCUCACUGGUCCGGUACUGACGCUGAGGUGCGAAAGCGUGGGGAGCAAACAGG
rnacentral:rRNA from 1 species